rnacentral:misc_RNA from 1 species
AGUUGCUGCAAUUAUUGGCAAUGUGAAGAUCACCGCUGCAGGCCUUACACAAUUGAAGCAGAAGAAAAAGAAAGGUAAGGAAGGCAAUAGCGAGGAGAGCUAGAGAGUUUAGGUUAGGUUUGGAAUUUUGAUGGUUAACAGGAGGGCUGUACUCCUGUAUGCCCUUUAUAGACUUCAGGAAGACAAGAGUGUUGUCUUCACAACUGCAGUUACAGUGCUUAUAUU